AAAAAUUAUUAAUAGUUGUGUAGGAAGCACGUCUUGUCAGGCUCCACUUUAGCAGAAAAAAAGUAAUAUAAUUGAGAUAUUGAAAUUGGUCCACAUUUUCAUCGAAACCAUGCAACAACAACACCAACACUAGAAGAAAACGGAGAAGAGAAGAGAGAGUUUUUUGUUUAGGGAUCUGUUUUUGAGGACAUGGGGAGGUUGUUUGUGGUGAAUCUGGAAGGGAAGAUCUAUAGCUGCAAGCACUGCAGAACCCAUCUGGCUCUUUAUGAAGAUAUUGUUUCAAAGGUUUGUUCUUGAUUCAUUUUGAACCUUUGUUGUUUCUCAAUUGAUUGGUGAUAAUUUUGUGGAAUUCCCAUCUGGGUAUUUUCAAUUUGGCCCUUUUUCUGAUAUUUGCCUGAAUUAAGGGUGCUUUUUGAUGGGGUGGACUGUAUGUUCUGAUGUGUUGUUUUUGAGUUAGUUCACCGUAUGGGGAUUUGUUUGGCAGAAAUAAAGAAUCAAGCGGUGAAUUUCUGGUUAGAGGAUGAGAUUUCUUGGAUUUGUCAUUCUAAUUACUUAACAUUUUUCACAUGAUUAUCAAUAGAUAGAUUUGAUGUUUGAAGUUGAUUUGGAUUAACCGACAUUUUAGAAAUGAAUUCUUGCUCCAGUUUGAAAGAUAAGGAAUCGAUGAUAACUCAACUUAGGGAUCUUAGGUGGUUAGUUUGCGGAGUUUGGUCACUUUAAACUUCAAAAGUGGAAAAUUAUGUGCAUCGAGAGCCUUUUAGUAUAUGGAAAGGCUGCCAUCCUAAUCCUUAUUUUGGAAGAAGCAUCCUGCCAUUAUCAUUAAUGAUGUUUCACCCAUAAUGUAAACUUGGGAAGGUAUUAUUGUCAAUGAAAAAUGAUUGCAUUUAGAUGCUUUUAUGUUCGAUUUUGUUUUUGCAGUAUAUUUAGGCCUCAUUGAGGCUGCAGGAAGGCUGCUUAUAGCACCAGUUUCUGCAGCCCCAGGUGCCUCCCAAAAUGAUGGUUUUCCAGCAGCAGGUGAAACAUUAAAAGAAGAGCAAAAGCUGUUUGGCAAAAACUGCCCAAACAUGUCCACCAAACUGGGCCUUAGUUUUGUGUCAUUUGUGCUUCAAAAUUAAAUUUAUCUGACUGCAUAUGCCUGUAUGAAUAUAAUUAUCAUUGCAUCAUCUUUAUAACCUUGCAGUUUGACAUACAUCACUGUGCUUAAAUUCGUAUAUGUUGUGAUUUCAUGUGUGAAUUAAACUUACCUCAGUUGGAGAGGAUUGAUUGAGGAAAUAUGUACAAGUAAAAACCCACAAAGCCAAUAGUUUGAUUUUUUGAGUUCAAACUACAAAGGUGGUGUCCAGCUGCAAACAUGACCUUGCUUGGCUUGCUAUGCAAAGUCAUCAUCUCCUGAAGGACUAACGGUAACAGAGUUAGACUUUUGUUGCUGGGAAAGUGGAAAUGUGGAGGCUUUGGCAACUCCAAUGUUUUUUCUUAGCAUCUCUCUUCCUCAUGGUUGAGUGGCUCUUGUUUAUGGGGAAUUAAUUCUAUGGAUGGAAUUCAGACAUGAAAGGGAAAUUAUUUGUUGUAGUUCUAGUUCAUACAAGUUAUUCUCACUUUGGCCGCUUGGAAGGGACCAUGUAGGCAUGUAUAUAUAGGAAGAAAGAUAAACUAAUAGCUUAAACUUUUAUGUGUCUAGGCUCUUGGGUGGUGCCCAGCUUAUAUGUUACUUUGUUGAUCUCACUUGAGUCUUCAUACAAGUUCUGCAGAGGUGACUUCCACAUGCAUGCAUGUCUAUGAGCAGUCAUGAGUAUUAUGAUAAAAAGGGGAUAGGCUUCACAUACAGUGCUAUUUAUAUUUUCUCAAUUGUCAAGAUGAGGCUUGGAUGGUGAAAUAGUAAACAUUUUCCUUGAUCACAUGUAUUCCAGUGUGCUCUGAUGGAUUCUCAUAUUUUUCAUACUGUCCAACGAAUGUUUUUUGGAGUUUUUAAAGGAAGCAAGAGUUUUGACUUUCUGUUUUGCCUGUGUUCUUUUCUUCAGUCCUUCCAGUGCAGGUAUGGGAAAGCUUAUCUCUUCAACAAGGUGUAAGUGUUUCUUAUUUUGGGUACAACUUAUUAUCACCAUCAUAAAUUCCAUUUGGAAGUAGCUUUAUGUUGGUUCAACAACCUGUGGACUUGCUCAUAGCACAAGAUGCCAUUAACUAACUUUGCCCCAGGACCUACCAAUAACAUUUAAUUUAUUCUUUUAGAACAGUUUAAUACUAAAAAUUUUACAUGUAAACUAUGUGUCGGUCAGUCUUCAGCUAUGUUUGAAGAUGUACGGUUAUCAUUUGCCUUAGGCAUGGAGCGUGGGCUUCCAAUUUUACAGGGACUAACCUGCAGGUCUAGAUUAAUUUGAAGGGGCCUAUCAUAAAUUCAUAAUACAUUUUAUAAAUUAAUUUACAUUUAUGGGUGAAGUUUUAAGUUUUAAGUUUUAAAUUUUUUUUGGAGGGGCAAGCCAGGGAUAUGAAUGAAAAUUUGUAUCAGAUGAGAGAUCCUUACUCAAUAUGCAAGCAAUUUAGGUUUGAAGUCUUAAACUUUAAAUUUUUUGCCAUACCCCAAGUUAAUGAUGUUCAAUCCUGGACUUGCCUGGUGUCUGGUUUUGCUCCCUCUCCCACCCCUCUUUCUCCCAUCAGUAAGAGAUGAAAAUAAUUCAUCUACUGCUGAAAGGGGUCAUGUAAGCUGCCAGCAUUGUCGUUAGUUGGAUAAAUGGUGAACUAUGUUGGUUAAGGAUUAUCCUAACAUAUGGUUUAAUCCCCAACAUGAUUUAUGAGACAUUGUAAGACACUUGUUGCUCUUUUAGCUUUAAUCUUCUUUCCUUAUUUGACAGAGCGAAUGUCUUUGUGGGAGUGAAAGAAGAGAGAUUGAUGAUGACUGGGUUGCAUACUGUUGCUGAUAUUUUCUGUGUUGGAUGUGGAUCGAUUGUGGGUUGGAAAUACGAGACUGCCUGUGAAAAGAGCCAAAAGUACAAGGAAGGAAAAUCUGUUCUCGAGCGGUUUAAGGUAGCUGGUCCUGAUGGAAGCAGUUAUUGGAUGAAUCAUGAAGCACAUGUUGGUGGAAGUGAUGCAGAUGAUGUUUGAUUACCUUUCAUUUCCAAUUGUACAUUCUUUCUCCUCUAAUGUUCUUUAUUUUAACUCUAUAUGAACUAGGAAACACCAAAUUCCUGAUUUCGACGGCUCGCUCAUCUUGCCGUCAAAUAACAUGAUUCUAUACAUGGGAUUGUUGGUUCUGAUGUAUUCCAUGCUCAGUUUCAAGGGUCAUUCCAUGUUAAAAACUUCAUUUCAUUGUUGAAUUUUUUACUGCAAUUUCAAGGGUUAAUCCUUUCAGGCAAUUCUUA
rnacentral:misc_RNA from 1 species